AUGUAUGCCGACGGCGAGCAGAGACCGGUGCCGCCGCUGCCAGCUGCCGUGGCCGACAAGAUCUUUGAUCUGAUGAGGCUGUUCUCCGUUGAUCCAUCCGAGAUGUUCUGGUCUGAUGUUAUUGAGCAUGUUGCCGACGAUGCUCAUGCUCUUGAGAUUGGGCAUGCAAACAACAACCGCUGCUACCUGGUACAAUCCCUGGGAGAAGUGUUCAUCGUCUUCAAGCUGCAGCAUGGCAUGCAGGUUUUCAGGAUGGACGACUCUAACCGGGGUGUACUCGAGCCUGUGAAGAGCAUCGGUCACCACGCCAUCUUCGUCGGCUGCUGCAGGUGCCUGGCUGUUGAUGCCGAUAAGUUCCCAUCUGUUGAGGCCAAUUGCAUCUACCACCUAGACGGGACAGAAGAGAUGGUCUCUGAAGCCAUAAGUUGGUCAGAUCCCAUCACACGGAGGGAUGCUGACUCUCCUUUCACAGCCGUUCAGCUCCUCUCCAGCUACACCAUCAACGUCCGGGGUUCUGAACUUGUGAUUCCGGAAACGUGUCGAGUAGAUAUUGAUCAGUUAGUGGAGGAGUUCUUCUCAACUGAGGAUAAGGAAUUCUUCGCAAUGUUUCCUCUGCAGUUAGGUUAA
rnacentral:rRNA from 1 species